rnacentral:tRNA from 1 species
GCUUUUGGUUCAGUGGUAGAAUGCCUGCCACGCGGGCGCUCCGGGUUCGAUUCCCGGACGAUGCA